rnacentral:rRNA from 1 species
UACGUAGGGGGCAAGCGUUGUCCGGAUUUAUUGGGCGUAAAGAGCGUGUAGGCGGUUAGGUAGGUCCGUUGUGAAAACUCGAGGCUCAACCUCGAGACGCCGAUGGAAACCAUCUGACUAGAGUCCGGAAGAGGAGAGUGGAAUUCCUGGUGUAGCGGUGAAAUGCGCAGAUAUCAGGAAGAACACCAAUGGCGAAAGCAGCUUUCUGGGACGGUACUGACGCUGAGACGCGAAAGCGUGGGGAGCGAACAGG